rnacentral:lncRNA from 1 species
CACACACACACACACACACACACACUCUCUCUCUCUCUCUCUCUCUCUCUCUCUCUUUCUCUCUCUCAGAAGCCAAAUGUAUGAGCAGGAAUUUCUUGUUUAAAAAGGCUCAUUUUUUUAAUCAUCGAUAUUGUCAACAAAUCUUCUCUAUUGCUUUCAACUCUACCCCAGUAUUUUGCCCCUCAAUACUUGAUCUCCAGAGGAAAUUCAGUAAGGCUUGCUGGAGUCUAAGAGAGAGCUAAUCAUCAAGGCUGCAAAUCUACAGCUUUUUAAUGGAUAUUUACUGUCAUUCAAAACAAAACAAACAAACAAACAAAAACUCAGACUUCUUUUAAAACCCUAACAGUCCCAUAUUCCUUCAAGGGUAAAAAAUACAAAUAUAUUGAACAGACUGCCGUCAGAAGAUACUAAUCCCUUAGAACUGUAUCAAUAAUUUAGAUGAAGUCACAAUUGCAUAAGGUUUGAAAAGAGAAUAAAAAACUUUGCAGAACCAAGGGACUUUAGACCGAGUAAGAGGCAUGUAUUCCAUUGUGAUUCAAUCGCAUCUACUUUGCUAAAUCCACUCAUUCUUACAAAGGGUUGCUUUAAAAAUGCACACAUACAGAAGCACAUUUUAAGUCUUCACCUUUCUGCUUUAAUAAAAAUGGAUGCUUAUGCUUUGUGGUCCUUGCCUUUGGAGUGGCACUAAAAAGAAGGCUAAAACAGAGGAUACAGAUGAAACCAAACCCAAGAAUUCAGAAGCAAGGUAAGCCACGGUAGGCAAUUCAGGGGUUAGCUCUACCCCACUGCUUAGGACACUGAUUGGUAAUCCUGUAACUCUGCCAUGUCCCCUUCUAACCAUUUCUCCCCGGCAGAGAUCAGAGCAGUCCAAGCUGGGCUGUUCAUCUAUUUUCUCUGUCCUUUACCCACUAACUGACCUCAUUUAACCCUUUAUUUCUUUAUCUCAGCUCUGAGUAGACAAACCAAGUGAGGACAGGAGAGCUUGACUUAGGGGGCUCCUGAUAAAUGCAUAUUUGGGUUGAGUUGCCCUGAUGGUUCAUAGCAAUCUCUAUCUCACCCCUGCAACCCCUUUAUUUGAGAGGGGAAAAAAAGAAAAAAGAAAAAAAAAAUCAAUCAGAAUGAUAUAUGACUCGUCAGUUCUGAACUAAAGCCCGGUCAUGUAGAAAAUAGACCAGGCCCCAUACUCUGAGUCCAAAAGAUAGGGUGAGCAAGCUCCAGCCUCAGGCACAAUUGUCUCUUGAAAACAAAACAAUGAAUGCACACAUGUAUAUCCCCCUAGAAACAGAUAUUUAUCUAACCUCUGCACCAAGUGCUUUCAGUUUUGCAAUGUCACCCAUGGUUUAUGCUGUUUCUCAAAGUUGCCACACUUAACCGGUGUGCUUAGGCAGUUUAGUAGGCUCGCUCGCAGAAAGCAAGAAAUGACUUUUGAAAACAUGCACACUUCUUUGGUCCCAGGGCCAUUCCCUUAGUUAAAGCCAUCAACAUCACUCACCCCAGCAUCCGCAGCAGCAUCCUAAUGGUGUCUUUUUCCUUUUCCAUAUUGUUCUCCAUUGUAUAAAUCUUACAGAUCAGGUCCCUUUGCUUCUUAAAAUUUCUCAGUUGUUUCCCAUGACUCUCAGAAUAAAGCUUAAACUCCUUGAUGAGGACUUCAGGCCAAAGAGAUCUGCCUUACUUACGUUUUCUGGGUAGCACUUGCUUUACCCUUUAAGUCCCCACACCUGGCUAGAUUCUAAGCAUCCUUCCAUAUUCCAAUUAGAUGUCUUCUUGUCCAGGAAGCUUUCCCUCACCCUGUCAAGUCUGACACAGAAGCUUCUACAUUUGGCUGGUCAAUGUACUAAUCAUACUUUCUUGAAGUUGCCUCUUUCCUUGAUCUGUAGUAUCCUUUGACAAUGAAUGGACUGUAUGUUAUUGUUUCACAUUUUUAAUGUUCACUGUCUGCCCUAUGAAUAAUGGUAUAAAUAUUUGUUGAGUGUGAAUAAAUGAAUGUGUGAAUGAGUGAGUGAAUCCAGAUGACAUACUCUGGUUCUCUGGACACACUCAUAACCCGCAACUCUAGGAUCUGCAAAGCCCAGCAGUACUCAGGGUUAGACUCCUCAGAAGGUAACAGGGUGGGGACCCAGUUGGGCAGAGACUUUGGGGAAGAUCUUUGAUCUUUUUACUAUAAAACUGGGAUGAAAGGAGACCCAAGGGUCUCUCACCAUGCAAGUCCUUCAUGAACAAUGGAGCAAGGUGGGAGUUUCUCACACUCCUUCCUGGGGCUCAUUUAGCCAUAAAACCAAGCUAUCAUGUUGUGGUAGAAACUGGCUAGCUGAUUUCAGUCACUUAUUCACUACAAUCUAGAAGCAUGUAUUGAGAAAGAAGCUUCAGCAAAACUUCAAAUUGUAUUUGACUUUGAAUUUAAAUGGAACUUACAUAUUUCUACAAGUACAGACAGGGAGAGAUAUCCAGGACAUAUGUUGACUGUAUACACCAUUUAUUAAAACUAAAACUUUUAGGGCAAGGGUGUGUGUGUGUGUGCAUGCACGUUCCUGUUUGUAAAGUCAGAGCAAAUGGUUUUUGACAUCUGCACAUUGAAAUGUUAACAGUGGUUCCCACUUGAGAGGCGACUAAGGUUGCAGAUAGUCAGAAAGGACUUCUAUGUUUUUCUUGAUAUUCUUCAUUACAUUUUGAAACCUUUUUCAAUAGCAUGUAUUAAUCAUGUGAUUACAAAAGAAGAGGCAGGGAGAGAAAAAAUAGAGAGGUCUCUGAUCUUCUCUUUAGUUCUGCUGAAAAGAAUAGUCCUGUAUCCUAAUAGUCAACUGUGAUCCCGUUUCAAACGUGUUCCCUGCAUAUUAGAACUGGUGGCCAUAACUGGAACACACAUCAUAAAUCUUUCACAACUUUAAUUUCAUCUCAAGUUUGAUGUAGAACUGUCUAUUAUAAACAACCUUAAGAUAGAGAAAAUAGAAAACAAUAGACGAACAGAAAAAUAUGCAGCUAAUUUAUCAUCCUUUAGAUUUCCUUUUUAAUAAUAACUUUAUUUUUUUCUAGAUCAGUAGAAAUCACAUUCAGUUCUACGUGUUGGUUUAGUUGCAAGUGAACAAAGAACCUCAACAAAAAUAUAAACAUAACAAAAGUGGACACUUUAGAAAAGAUUAACAUGGAUUUUUUUUUUGUCCCCAGAGCACUGGAACAAACAGUUCUCCCUAAUCAUUCACUUUUGUUCCUACUUGGUAAAUGGUGCCACCUUACUUCAGAAUGUGUGAUUGCAAAAGUAUGGGCAGAAGCCCUGUCUUGGGGUCUCCUGGGGUACUAACUAGGUCUUUAUGAUCAUAUAUCUCCUGGCUAUAAUUAUCCUGACACCGUCACCCACUGACUUAAACAAUCACCUUUACAAUAAUACCCUCAGCAUGCAGAAAGCCCCUGAUUAUGUAAGCUCCAAGCAGGAACACCUGGGACAAAGCGCCCCAUGGGGAACCUCUCAGAUAAGCUACUUGAUUUCUUAAUCCUUCUGUCCUUCGGUCAAAUCAGCUGGAAAGCAGGAAUAGGGAAAGGGGUGGGAAAAACCUCCUGAGGAAUCAGAGGCUGAGUCUGAGCCAGAUGCAACUUCUAUUUUGAUUGAGAGAUGAAAAGUCAUCAUUUUAAUUCAGGUCAAAUAAGCAUUCCUGAAAGAAGCCAAGAGGAAGGCACAUUUUCAACAUGACAUAAAAAAAGGGCUGAUAUAACAAAGAAAUUAAAGAAUAUCAAAGCCAACACAGUAAAAAGCAAUGGCAUCCUCAACAAGAAAGGGAAUGUGAAACUGAAUACAGGUACCAGGAAUCAGAAGAGUGCCAGGAAGAGAAUGAUCUUUGUUCUGCAGUAGCAGAGUUGCCUCCUGAGGAGCUGGAGAAAGCAGGCUUGCUUGUGUCACUAAAAGAAGCAAUGUUGACUCAAGGAGAAAUACACAAUGCCAUGAAUUAUAAGGACUGGUGACAGAAAAUGAGUUAGGUUCUCUCUUUCAUCUUCUUCUGGUAUCCCUACACAAGAAUCAUGGGCUAAUAGCAUGUUAGGGCUGGAAGGGGCUUAUAGAACAUCUAGUAUAACUUCCUCUCUUUAUUGGUGUUGCAAGUGAGGCCCAAAGAGAGGAAUUUACCUAACGUGCAGCAGUGCUGCAGAAAAUUCAAAUUCUUUACUUCUAACUAUUCCCAGAAUUGGUCAUUCAUCUCUUCAAAAUAUAUGUGUUGGUGUAAAUAAAAUUAUACCCAAGGGGGUUUUUAAUCUCACACAACUAUAUAUCACAUGGCAGGGACAAACAUUAACAAUCAGAGCCAAGUUGUUACUAUAGUCAAUAAAUUGAAUAACUUAUUUUACCACCUCUUAUUCUUCUACCUUUUUAAAAAGUGUAUAUAUCAAAACAAGCUUCAUCUUACUUAGUGUCCUCAUGCAUGGAUAGAGUUAAAAUGGUUUAGGCAUCAUUUUGCAUUAGAGUUCUGGAAUGUAUGCAGAGCAAGGUUGGAUGGAUUUUUACCAUGUAAGUCAGCCACUAGGCAGUAUUUGUAGUGGAAAUGGGCCUCUAACACUCAUUUCCAAUAGGACAGUAGAAAACAUGGUAUCUACCACCACAGAUCUGCUGUCAAAAGUUUAACCUCCUAUGGGUUAACAUGCGAGUGAUUUAUUUUAUCUUGUGAGCUACUUUGACACCAAAGUAUCUUGAAUGGUCAUAAGUUUGACAAAAAGACCUUUAUGGCUGGUUGAAAUUAAUGACCUCUAAAGUUUGAUUUUACCCUGAGAUCCUGUGAUUCUAAGAGCAGCAGUAGAAAUCCUAGGCAUCUUUCAAGUGUCAUUCUGAACAACAAAAAAAAUAACAUCAGAAGGGAAAAUCUUUUAGACUCAUUAUCUUGCCAUUUCAACCAAUAUAAAUACCAGCUUUAUUUUUUGAAAGCUUUAUUGGAAUUUCUACAUAAGGCUACAUACAUUUCUAAAUAGCUCCCUCAAACUAGAAACUUGUCUAUAAAACAACUGAAAUCAAAUGGAAAGCCCCUUUUCUCAGCCUUAUAUAAGUAAACCUUACUUAUAUAUACCUGAUCAAUAGGGCUAUACUCUCCCUGACAGAUGUUUUCAUUUUUUCUGCCUGAAUAUAAUGUAAAUGGAGCAAAUUCUACCCUAAGGUGCAAUAUUAUACCACAGACUGAUAUAAUAAUAAUUUAUGGCCUAUAUAUUAUAGUUAUAUAAAAUGUCUCAUACCACAUCACCAAUUAUAAGGGGCUGAUCUGCAAUACAACUGAUAGGUUUAGUCCUAUAGGACAUUUCAUUCCAGUUAUAGUUUAAUUUUCAACCUUACUCAUUUGUGAUCUCUCUUUAUAAUUGCCAAAAAGUUCAGGGAUCAUAUGAAGCACUGUUUUUCAAAUGGCCCAUGUGGAAGCAGAAGCCUAGUACAUAUCUUUGAUAAAAGAAUUAACAAGGAUAGUAAUUUAUUAUAUUCUGUAGGGAGAGAAAUUAAUAAUUUAACUACAGAAGAAUUCAGAUGAAUAGGAAAAGAAGAGGAAAAAAAGGAAAACUAGAAAAAAAUUGCUUUCCAGGUUCACAGAAGGCAAACAUCGUGUGGACACUUCCCCAGUGCCUCGGGCUAUGUGGUUAAGACUAAACACACCGUGUGCUCUAUCUUCUAUUUGUUGAACCUCCAGGUGGAACCAGAUUAGCAGAAAGAACGUUUCCUCGGUCAUGAGGGAAUUUAAUUCUUAUCACCUGCUGUGGAAGAUUGGCAACAGCAUUCCUGACCUAAAGAAUAAACUUCUAAUUGUUCUUAAGAAGGUAAUUCCACCAAGGUAAUUCUAGGUCUGCUUCAGCUAUUCCUUAUUUUUGAGUGAUUUUAUUUCAGACUUAAAUCCAUUCCCUUGACGAUAACUGGAGAAAUGAAGCAUAGGAAGAAAAUUGUCCAGAAAGGAUAACACCAAACAUUAAUCUCUUUUGGAACAGAGAGACUCUUUGUUUUUAGUAAACUAGACACAGUUUCAUGGGCAUGUAGGUACUUGAGUGCCCACAAUGCACCAGGCAAUGUGCUGGGGGUGGCAAGAAAUAAAUGCAAUGCUUCUCUACUCUGUGGCAAGCCCUGUGAUAGAACUUUUUACACGCCAUCUCAGCAGACCCUGCAUUUGUCUAAUGUCUAUUUCAUGCUUUUUACACCUGUGUAAGGCAGUCUAUAAGGUGGCUCCCAACUGUCUCAGCCUCCUGGUAUUCAUACCCUUGAUUAUUCCCUCCCCUUAAAUGUCCUAUACUUAUUGACUCACUUCUAAGUGAUGAAUAGAAUACAGUAGAGGUGACAGGAUGUCACUUUCAAGAUUAGAUUGAAAACAACAAUGGCUUCCACCUUCUCCCCAACCCUCAAUCAAAGACAGCUAUUAAGUUGUAAGCUGUCCUGUAGAAAGGCUCUUGUGCCAAUGAAGUAUUAUCUGUGGCCAACAGUCCACAAUGACUAAGGCCUGCCACCAGCCAUAGGUAAGGGCUUGGAAGCAGAUCUCUCCCAAGUUGAGGUGACUGAAGCCCUGGCUGUCACCUCGGUUGCAGCCUUAUGGAGGGACUCUAAGCCAGAGGCACCCAGCUAAGCCACAUCUGGAUUCCUGACCUGCAAAAAUUAGGAGGUAAUGCCUUGUUGAUUUUUGAGCUGCUACGUUUUGGAGUUAUUUGUUAUGCAGCAAUAGAGAACUAAUAUAACACCAUUUCCUCCUCUCUAGUCACCAUUAUUUAGAAACAACUCCAUGAAUGAACAAUGAGAAUCAAGAGCUGGGAAUCAAUAGUUGAGGUGACAGAUUAGGCAACAGCAUGAUGGCCAGCACGUGUCUCACCCAGAAGCUGUCCUCUUCCUUCUUAUAAGACAAGGCUCUAACUCAUGAGGAUGGUUUUUACCACAAAGUUGCACGAGGUGCUUGAAUUUACCACAAAGUUGCAGGAGGUGCUUGACUAGUACAGGAGCACAGCUAAAAAAGGCUCUGCAGACCAAGUCUUCCAUAUUGAUCACAUCUUAGCUAACACUGCUAUGGCUUAAUUGGGCAAACGGCCAAUGGCAUCUGAUCUGCCAUUUUCCAUUUCUCUCAAAAACUAGUUAAGGUAUGGGAAGGACAUCUACCUCAUUUUCCUCUCCUGCCUCCCCGCCUGCCACACACAUUGAGGGCCAAGAAUGGCUCUUUGUAAAGCUACUUGAAAUAAAUGCUACAGGCCUCGUCCUGCUUGGAAGUAAAUCUGGAUGGAAUGUAAUCAAACAGCAUGCAUUUGGCAUCAACUUAUGUUUGAGCAUUGCAGGUAUAAAAAUGAAAAAUAUGUUUUGGCAGAGAGUUGGACAGAAAGGAAGACUUAAUUAAAUAUCUGAAAUAUACACCACUGGAACCAAUUAAUAAUCAUCAAGGGAUCAGAAAAGGAAGGACAGUAAUAAAAAGAGUUUAUAAAGUCGAAAUUUCAGGUGAGAGGGAAAAAAUCCUAUCCACAUUCUUCUGAAUCUCUGAAUUGGUAAGCAACACUUUAUUUUUCAUUUUCCUAACUAAUAUUUAUGCAUUGUCAAUGUCCUACUGCCUUCAAUAAGUUUACAAUCUAACUGGGAGACCAAAAUCUCUAAAAUGCAAUAAUGUGUGCAUCAAAACUCAAGUUCUUAUCAGGGACUGAUUACUUUGGAGUCCUCAGCUCCAUCUCCUAACCCAUGUAUACACUUUCAUAGUUCCUCUUCAGAAAGGAACUAUUUUUAUUCUGUAAAAAUCUAGUGGUCAAAUGAAAUGGGUAUGCUUUAUAGGUAAGGAUCCUGAAGCAAAAAUCAAAUGCAUAAAGAUUACACGGCAAAUGAAGUAAGAGAUUUUUAAGCUCUGACACCAUUUGAUUUUUAGUUUUUUCUAUCACAAAAUAGUGCUAAUAGCUUAUAAAAUUAAAAUAAGUAAAAGUAGCUUUGUUAAAGCAGAAAGAAACUUACACUUCCCUACAACAAUUUGCAAACUUAAGUCAAAUGAUCAAUGAUCAAAUAGCAGAGGCUGGAGUGUGCCCAAGGGGGACUUGAUCUUAUUCUGGGUGUUUUAGCCCAAGCAGAAAUCAAUGCAGGGUUUUCUGCCACCUGCUUAUUUUGUUUCCAGUCAAGCAAAACAAGGGGCUUAUCUCCCUCACAGAUCAGCAUAUGAGAUAUGCUUCAGAUAUGUUUGCCUGUCAGACUCAUAAACACAACAAGAUAUGCCAGCUGCAAUGAAGAGAAGCCCUGUUUCAGUUCGUGGAUUACAGACUGCAACAUCCAUCAGCAUCAAGACAAACACCUUCAAACUACUGUCCUUGGCGUCCAGCCUAACAGAUCUGAGGAAUGUGAUAAAGGAACACUGGAUUCCCAAGGUCUGCUCAGGUUUCCUUCCAUAACAAGAAGUAGCCAAAUACAGCUGAACAGGCCUGCUGAAACCACUGAUUUCUUUCGUUUAAGUUCAGAGGUUCGUAACCUGCUCAAUGGUUUAAACAACAACAACAAGCAGUAUCGGAAGUCAGCAUCAUCUACUCAGCAGCCCAAAUCUGGAAGGUUUUGGAAAAAAUCAGGACACCACUGUUAACCACCUUAACAAGACUGCAAACACAGGCUGUCUAUUCCUCAUCAACAGAAUCUUUGAUACUGGCAAUUUGUUUAGAUUGGCUUGCAGAAGCAUAUAUUGGUAGCUAUGUUAUGAAUAUUUACCGGUUUCAUACACAUUCAUAAAAAUCAGAAACAUUUUCCUCCUAGGUAUCUGCAUUGGUCUUGAAUGGCUGUUUAAAAAUAAUCAGAAACCCCCACUCAUUCAAGAAUGACUCUUACCUACAACCCAAAUAAGCCAUACAGACAAGGGUAGAUCUCAGAUGAAUGAUAAUCAAGGGCCCUGUUAAAAUCUUCUGAAAUCAAAAAUAAAUAGUAAUUACUUUAUUAUCUAUCUGCCUAUCUAUUCAACCAUUCACAUUCUUUAAAAUUUUUGUAGGUACAUAGUAGGUGUACAUAUUUAUGGGGCAUAAGUUAUAUUUUGAUAUGGGCAUAAAUGUGUAAUAAUCACAUCAGGGUAAAUGGGGUAGCCAUCACCUCAAGCAUUUAUCCUAUUACAAGCAAU